rnacentral:rRNA from 1 species
UACGAAGGGGGCUAGCGUUGCUCGGAAUCACUGGGCGUAAAGGGUGCGUAGGCGGGUCUUUAAGUCAGGGGUGAAAUCCUGGAGCUCAACUCCAGAACUGCCUUUGAUACUGAAGAUCUUGAGUUCGGGAGAGGUGAGUGGAACUGCGAGUGUAGAGGUGAAAUUCGUAGAUAUUCGCAAGAACACCAGUGGCGAAGGCGGCUUACUGGCCCGGAUCUGACGCUGAG